rnacentral:tRNA from 1 species
GGGAUUGUGGCUCAGCGGUAGAGCACUCGCCUAGCAUGUGUGAGGCCCUGGGUUUGAUCCUCAGCACCA